rnacentral:lncRNA from 1 species
CUUCCCUGUGAGCUACGUGAAGGCUCAUCAGUACUCAGAAGCCAGUUUCACAAAGCAAUUACAGAUUCUGAUGACGCAGCUAAGUUACCUAUACAAAUAACACAUUUUAAGAAGUUAAACUCCAAGGAACCAUUAGGAGGAAAUACUCCCCAUUCUGAAAACCACCCAAAACAGACUCUAAACUCUCUAGAAGAUAACAUUACUUUGGAAUUGAAGAAUCAUACAAUAGCCCAGAGAUUAACAUUCAUCAUGCUGAGAUUUGGGCAGCACAUCAUCAAGCCCUCCGUGGUCUUCCUGAAGACUGAGCUCUCCUUUGCUCUUGUGAACCGCAAGCCGGUGGUCCCAGGCCGUAUCCUUUUGAGCAGUGCCUUGGCCAUGGGUGCUCGUGCUCUGUGGAGAAGCUGAGGAAGGUUGGCGCGUGCUCCAAAGGCCAGGUAGGAUCUGCGCGGAUUUAUUCUGAAACCAGGCGGUGGAACAUAAUACACUUGAUUGGUGUUGCAGAACUGCCGAAAAGGGUUGCUUAGCAACUGUGACCUUACAGGUGAAUUUCUAUUGACCUUUUCACCACAGAAGAUGUAUAAACAACCAGGUGCUACUAAAAGCAUUUUAAAGUGUAUCUGAGAUGAUACUGUUUAAAUUUCAUAUUAUGCUAAAUAACACAUCCUGCUUCCCUUUUAAUAACGUCACUUAUUUUUAGAUGUGGUAACUUCUUUAUGGAGGAUUUUCAACUUCUUGUAGCUAAAUGUACACGAUUUGUCAAAUGGCAGCAGAAUUCUCUAUGAAGACUAUUAUUUUUUGGGGGGGGAACAGAUUGCUUUGAUUAAUUUAGGUAGGAAUGGAUUAAAUAAACCAUCUGUAUAGCAAACA